GCUUAACCGGAGAAGUGCAUCGGAAACUGGGAGACUUGAGUGCAGAAGAGGACAGUGGAACUCCAUGUGUAGCGGUGGAAUGCGUAGAUAUAUGGAAGAACACCAGUGGCGAAGGCGGCUGUCUGGUCUGUAACUGACGCUGAGGCUCGAAAGCAUGGGUAGCGAACAGGAUUAGAUACCCUGGUAGUCCAUGCCGUAAACGAUGAGUGCUAAGUGUUGGAGGGUUUCCGCCCUUCAGUGCUGCAGCUAACGCAUUAAGCACUCCGCCUGGGGAGUACGACCGCAAGGUUGAAACUCAAAGGAAUUGACGGGGGCCCGCACAAGCGGUGGAGCAUGUGGUUUAAUUCGAAGCUACGCGAAGAACCUUACCAGGUCUUGACAUCUUCUGCCAAUCUUAGAGAUAAGACGUUCCCUUCGGGGACAGAAUGACAGGUGGUGCAUGGUUGUCGUCAGCUCGUGUCGUGAGAUGUUGGGUUAAGUCCCGCAACGAGCGCAACCCUUAUUAUCAGUUGCCAGCAUUCAGUUGGGCACUCUGGUGAGACUGCCGGUGACAAACCGGAGGAAGGUGGGGAUGACGUCAAAUCAUCAUGCCCCUUAUGACCUGGGCUACACACGUGCUACAAUGGACGGUACAACG
rnacentral:rRNA from 1 species